rnacentral:rRNA from 1 species
GCCAGCCCUAAACUUAGAUAGCACAACACUACCUAUCCGCCAGAGAACUACAGGCAAAUUACUUAAAACUCAAAGGACUUGGCGGCAUUCCACAUCAACCUAGAGGAGCCCGUCCAAUAAUCGAUAAUACGCGCUCAACCCUACCAUUUUUGGCCCCUCCAGCCUAUAUACCGCCGUCGUCAGCUAACCUUGUGAAAGAAAAAAAGUAAGCUCAACAGCCCCCGCUAAAACGUCAGGUCAAGGUGUAGCUAAUAAAAUGGAUGAGAUAGGCUACAUUUUCUAACUUAGACAAUACGAAUAACACAAUGAAACAUUGUACUGAAGGCGAAUUUAGAAGUAAAAUAAGAAAGGACUCUUAUUUUAACAUAGCCCUGGAAUGCGCACACACCGCCCGUCACCCUCCUCACAUUAACCUAGAUGAGGCAAGUCGUAACAUGGUAAGCGUACUGGAAAGUGCGCUUGGAUUC